GAGGGGGCUGUACCUGUAGUGGUAGUGCCCGAACGCUUUUAGGGUCAAUCGGACGUUUUAGAGUAUUGCACUACUCAGUGCUAUCGUGUUUUUAGUCUUGCGAGGAUUUGAGUGAAAGCGCUCAGCAACAACCGUUGUGUUCGAUCUUUUUUUUCUUGGACGGCCGGAGUAACAGAACAAUCCAUCCACCAUGGACGCGAUUAAGAAGAAGAUGCAGGCGAUGAAGCUGGAGAAGGACAAUGCCGCCGACAAAGCCGAUACCUGCGAAAACCAGGCCAAAGAGGCCAACCUCCGCGCCGACAAGAUCAUGGAGGAGGUCGCUGAGCUGACCAAGCGUCUGACCCAGGUCACCGAGGAUCACGAGAAGUUCAAGAACACCUUGGAGCAGGCCAACAAGGACCUCGAGGAGAAGGAGAAGCUCCUGACCUCCACCGAGGCCAACGUUGCCGCCCUGACCCGCAAGGUCCAGCAGGUUGAGGAGGAUCUGGAAAAAUCCGAAGAACGCUCGGGCGCUGCUCUGUCCAAGCUGCUGGAGGCCACCCAGUCCGCUGAUGAGAACAACCGUAUGUGCAAGGUAUUGGAGAACCGUUCCCAGCAGGAUGAGGAGCGUAUGGACCAACUGAGCAACCAGCUGAAGGAAGCCCGUAUGCUCGCUGAAGACGCUGACGGCAAGUCUGAUGAAGUGUCCCGCAAGCUGGCCUUCGUUGAAGACGAGCUGGAAGUCGCUGAAGAUCGUGUCAAGUCCGGUGAGGCCAAGAUCAUGGAGUUGGAAGAAGAGUUGAAGGUCGUCGGUAACUCGCUCAAGUCUCUGGAAGUCUCGGAAGACAAGGCCAACCAGAGAGUCGAAGAAUUCAAACGUCAGCUGAAGUCCCUCACCAUCAAGCUGAAGGAGGCUGAGACUCGUGCUGAGAACGCCGAGAAGAACGUCAAGAAGCUCCAGAAGGAAGUCGACAGACUAGAAGACAAAUUGAUGAACGAGAAGGACAAGUACAAAGCCAUCUGCGACGACCUGGACUCCACCUUCGCCGAACUUACCGGAUACUAAUUUCUCCAAUCUACUACCAAUACUAUUACUACUAGCUACUACUAGCGCUGCUAUUACUACUACAGCCAACUCCACCAGCUUGCACAUAAGUAAAACAACCACCACCAACCACCAACAACAAAAGAGACAACUCAAAUCCAGAGGAGAAGCGAUCCGGUUCGUUCCAUUUCUUUUGUCUCGCUCACACACUCUCUGUUCUACUGUUGCCGUCUAAAUGUGACCCGAUUGUUGGUGUGUGUGUUCACAUAUGAUCCAGUGUUAGCCAGUGGGACCGAUACAAGCACCAGGGGGUGUAUCCGCUAUCCUCAGUUUUCUAAGCCGCGUGAUUCACCGAGAGUCGGAUGUUGUUACAAAUGUUUUAUUUUAAUUGACGAGAAAGUGGUUAAUGUUCUGUCCAAUAGACGAAUUGGGCGUCAACAAGGACAGAUACAAGUCUCUGGCCGACGAGAUGGAUUCCACCUUCGCCGAGUUGGCUGGAUACUAGGAGAAAUUGUCAACUUUUCUACGUACUGCUUUAACUUUAUCUAGAGUCAACUACUUGUAUCAUAUAUACACAACAAAAAAGCUAUACUUACACCAAGAAAUGGUUUGAUUUAGAACUUUUCCUCAUGGUCCCACUGCAGAAGCAACGCACUAAACGAUCGCACCGUUACCACCUUCACCGUUAGAUAGUAGUAGCGAACGAAGAACUACAGAGAGAUAUUGAAAUGAACGCUCCGAAGAUCCUCUUCAGCGGAAGAAACCCCAAAACGACAUCAGAACAUCCGAUCCCUUGAUUAUUUAGAAGAAGCGAGCAGCUUAAGAAUUCAUGUUUUAUCAUAGGAAAGUAUUAGGACAUAAUUUAUUGCAUCAUUUGAUUAGUGAGUAAGAAACCGUCAUUCGUUCUAAUUAAGAUUACACAGAGACGUAUUGUUGUUGUUGCAGCCAGAAACAAGUUCAUGGUCAGAAGCCAAACAAGUGAAGAUAAAAUUGAGAAUCAUCUAAUAUAGGAAUUAUAUCGUAACAAAAAUAAGUUUUAGUACCCUAUUCGUUGGAAGAUUUGUAUAGGAAAACUUUAAGCGCAAAAACCGAUGACGGAGCCAGAAACGGAAACAUCCAAAUAUUGAUUCAGAAAAGUGUUGGUGUUGAGUAGCGUGCUGGAAUGACACCGAUCAGCCAAAAAAAAACGUCGAUGCACUCACAACGGAAGUCAUGUAUUAUUACUAUCUUUUAAUAAAAAAUGUUAAAACAAAACUCCCAAAACAUCUGCACUCGAUGGGAACUCUCUGCUCUGAUUCGGUUCGUGUGCCUUGGGGGCACGCGACAACCGAGUUGUGUACUAGAAUCCUCUAUUUCUCUAUUUUUAUUAGAAGAAAUCGAAAAACCUAUUUAUUGUAAUGCUAAGUUUUGAUUUAUUUUGUAUAAUAAACGUUUAAUUAUUA